rnacentral:rRNA from 1 species
UCGGAACGUACCUCGUAGUGGGGGAUAACUCGGCGAAAGCCGCGCUAAUACCGCAUAUGCUCUACGGAGGAAAGCAGGGACCGCAAGGCCUUGUGCUAUGGGAGCGGCCGAUGUCCGAUUAGCUAGUUGGUGAGGUAAUGGCUCACCAAGGCGACGAUCGGUAGCUGGUCUGAGAGGAUGAUCAGCCACACUGGGACUGAGACACGGCCCAG